AGUGAACGCUGGCGGUAGGCCUAACACAUGCAAGUCGAACGGCAGCACAGUAAGAGCUUGCUCUUACGGGUGGCGAGUGGCGGACGGGUGAGGCAUACAUCGGAAUCUACUUUUUCGUGGGGGAUAACGUAGGGACACUUACGCUAAUACCUCAUACGACCUACGGGUGAAAGCAGGAGAUCUUCGGACCUUGCGCGAUUGAAUGAGCCGAUGUCGGAUUAGCUAGUUGGCGGGGUAAAGGCCCACCAAGGCGACGAUCCGUAGCUGGUCUGAGAGGAUGAUCAGCCACACUGGAACUGAGACACGGUCCAGACUCCUACGGGAGGCAGCAGUGGGGAAUAUUGGACAAUGGGCGCAAGCCUGAUCCAGCCAUACCGCGUGAGUGAAGAAGGCCUUCGGGUUGUAAAGCCCUUUUGUUGGGGAAGAAAAGCAGCAGGUUAAUACCCCGCUGUUCUGACGGUACCCAAAGAAUAAGCACCGGCUAACUUCGUG
rnacentral:rRNA from 1 species